rnacentral:lncRNA from 1 species
UUGGAGCUCUCGGAUCUACUGUGUGAAGAAAAUGAAAUGUUACUGUUCCUGAUUUUCGUCGUGGCUUUUGUCUGUGGAGUGUUGCUCUUCUGUCUCCAUCACUGGCUGAGAAAUCGUCGAAGUGAUUCCUCAAGAUGCACCGUGGCUGUUUUUGCUGUUGGGGAUUUGGACACCAACUAUGGUUUAAUGACAACCACUAAAUUCUGAGUAACAAGACAAUAAAAGGAACCUACCACAGAGAGCGGCUGUCAAGAUUCUAUGACCUGGAGUGUAAUAUUGAUAAUGACAGCAGUAGAAAUAAAUUGGACCUAGUACACACAAUAAAUGUGUGUAGUCAACUGGUCGACCAUUUCCAGGUAGGAAGAUAGCUAAGUUGUCAUUGACUUCAUACUGACUACACCAGGAGCGGUCUGCCAGGAAAACAGUGUUCAGUAUCAGUGUUCACAAUGGAAAGGAUUUGGGGAGUCAGUACAUUUUUACAUUUUAGCUCUCUGUACCAGUCCCAUAGACUUAACUAAUUUCAGCCUAAAUUUGUGAACUGAAAAAGGC